GCCAGAAUGCCAACGGGAAUGUAUGCUACUUUUCAAAAAAUAGGUGUUGACAAUAGCCUGCAGUAUUGCACUGUAGUCAAAGAAGAGUGCUGAAAGCUUCAGUUCAUAAAAAUGCUUGAUUCAUCAAAAAUAAUCACCUCACCUGAUAAUUGAAAGCUACAGAGAAUUAUUAUGCAGCCGUGGACUCUCAAAAAUUUAUUCAUUUUUGGUAAUUAACAUUAUUUCUUCUUGAUGAUGUUGCUAAAUGGCUUGAACCCAGUCUGAAGAACCAUGCAUGAUCAUUUAUGCUGAAAAGAAAAGAAAUUAGAAGCUUUUGUUGCACAGAAUGGUGGAUAAAGAUUGCGAAUUUGCACAGCUAUAAAGCUUACUAAUUAAAGACUACAAACACAAAGAGAGCAAGCCUUGUGAUGACUGCACAAUAACGAGGAUUCAGAUACAACGUGGUCGCCACCUGACGCCCACCUCCACAAAAAGCCAUUCUCAAAAGGAGAGAGACAUUCAUAUCCAGAAGAGGGAGUCGGCUGUAGGGUAGAGUGAUCGUUCAAUGCAGAGCAGCUGAGGAAGACUUCUGUGUCCAGUGGUGCCACAGGCUGGGUCUUGGACCGACCGUCCCCUUGAAAACAACCGAACAUGUUGGAUAGAACAUGAGA